UCUUCAAGCUGGUUAUUUAUUGACUAAGACUAAAAACUUUUAAGUAGCCUAUAUUGUAAAUAUUUAUCUUUUUUAUUUCUUUACUUUUUUACAAGAAAAUAGAUGACUCGAGUGUUACAAACAAUAGUUUUAAAGGAAUAAUGUAAAAUAAGUUAAUUUUUAUAGGAUAAAAAACGUAAUCAACAUGAUAACUUCAUAACAUUAGUCCUACCAGACACUAACUUAGAUGAUCCUGGAGCAAAGGCUGUAAUUUGACCUGAACCCAAAUUGGUCUUUAUUUUAAAUAUUGUAAGUUAAGAGGACUGACCUUUCUGGACGACAUUGCUAUCGACAUCACUGCAGAUGAGAGAGAGACCAGAGUUGUGUACCCUGGAGGCAAUAAUUGCCAUACUGCUGUGAUAAUGUUCCUUGGUCUAACCAUAACUUAAGUGAGAGCUGUAGCCUACCAGUAGAAUGGCGGCGUUGUAAUUAAUAUCCUCCGACAUUGGAAGGUACAGGGGAGAGGUGCCAGAGGAAGAGGAGAUGGAGGAUGGGGCAAAGUAAAGACGAAGAUUGAAGAGAGCUAACUUAUGGCCUGAUGACAGGGUAGAAGGCGAUGGAGGCAUGGUGGUUGGGGGAGAGGAGGCUGAAGAAGUGGAGACAAAUCAGUUUAGAUUCAUUAUGUUGAUUAGUUUAAUAUUUAUUUGGAAUAUCAGUAUACUUUUAUUUAAUUUUUUUUCUCAUUUAGAUUAUUAAACUAAGAUCAUUUUAUUGUUUUUAUGAAAAUGUUUUCUUAAAUUUUUAAUAUUUGUUUGUACACCAUUUGUUGUUUGUACACAUUUGUUUGUUGUUUGUAUUUGUUUGCCUGGUAAAAAAAUACUGUUUUUUUUAGUAUGUUUGUUAAAAUGAUUACUUUCACUAACUGACCUUGUCUUGGGUGAAAAGAGAUAUCUUGAUAUUUAACUAGCAGGGUGCCUGUUCUAUAGGCGGGGAUCGUAUAAGUCAGUUGAAACCUUCUUAUAUUUUGAUAAGUUGUAAAUUAAUCAUUUUCAACUUUAUAUAGUGUAGAUCGCUUCUCCUGUAUUGAUGUACU